UGCAGUCGACGAUGAAGGGGAGCUUGCUUCCUGGAUUAGUGGCGAACGGGUGAGUAACACGUGAGUAACCUGCCCUUGACUCUGGGAUAAGCGUUGGAAACGACGUCUAAUACCGGAUAUGACCUGUGACGGCAUCGUCUGCAGGUGGAAAGAAUUUUGGUCAAGGAUGGACUCGCGGCCUAUCAGGUAGUUGGUGAGGUAACGGCUCACCAAGCCGACGACGGGUAGCCGGCCUGAGAGGGUGACCGGCCACACUGGGACUGAGACACGGCCCAGACUCCUACGGGAGGCAGCAGUGGGGAAUAUUGCACAAUGGGCGAAAGCCUGAUGCAGCAACGCCGCGUGAGGGACGACGGCCUUCGGGUUGUAAACCUCUUUUAGUUGGGAAGAAGGGAGCUUGCUCUUGACGGUACCAGCAGAAAAAGCACCGGCUAACUACGUGCCAGCAGCCGCGGUAAUACGUAGGGUGCAAGCGUUGUCCGGAAUUAUUGGGCGUAAAGAGCUCGUAGGCGGUUUGUCGCGUCUGCUGUGAAAUCUGGGGGCUCAACCCCCAGCCUGCAGUGGGUACGGGCAGACUAGAGUGCGGUAGGGGAGAUUGGAAUUCCUGGUGUAGCGGUGGAAUGCGCAGAUAUCAGGAGGAACACCGAUGGCGAAGGCAGAUCUCUGGGCCGUUACUGACGCUGAGGAGCGAAAGCAUGGGGAGCGAACAGGAUUAGAUACCCUGGUAGUCCAUGCCGUAAACGUUGGGAACUAGAUGUAGGGGCCAUUCCACGGUUUCUGUGUCGCAGCUAACGCAUUAAGUUCCCCGCCUGGGGAGUACGGCCGCAAGGCUAAAACUCAAAGGAAUUGACGGGGGCCCGCACAAGCGGCGGAGCAUGCGGAUUAAUUCGAUGCAACGCGAAGAACCUUACCAAGGCUUGACAUAUACCGGGAAACGUCCAGAGAUGGUCGCCCCGCAAGGUCGGUAUACAGGUGGUGCAUGNUUGUCGUCAGCUCGUGUCGUGAGAUGUUGGGGUUAAGUCCCCGCAACG
rnacentral:rRNA from 1 species